rnacentral:lncRNA from 1 species
AUCCCCUGGCCCUGGCUGACUCGCCACCCCCGACACUGCAGCGCCUGCCGACCUCGGGGCCCCGCCCUCUGCCUUCGCUCGCGCCGCUCUCCUUCAGUCUCCCCAGGGCCUGUUUCAUGGAUAGGGUCCCCUUGCCCGCGUGAAAGUCUCAUUCCUCCUCAGCUCAGAAACACUCCAAGGUCUCGGCGCCCUAUACUGGCCUUCCCUCAUCCGAAUACCCCUCGUGCUCCUGAUGUACUUUUCCAUUCCCACUCCCUACUCUGGCAGUCUAGCUUCUAAGCUGAGGAGUUUGGCCUUCGCUCCAGGUGCGGGGACUCGUGGAAGGAUUUGAUUCGCGCUUGAGAAAGAUCGCUCCGCUCCUGUAAGGAAGAGAGCGUGUAGGGGCUGCAACCAGAGACACAGUCAGAAGCUCCGAGGCUACCGCGAUGGUCCAGGUGCCACAGGACACAGCCUAACAGAGGCCCAGGUUGGAGCCAUGGACCAUGGAGUCAUGAGAAUGGAAGGGAAGCUGACGCCAUGUGGGAUGGGGUAGAACUGUCCGCAAAUUCGUCCCGCCUCUGGAGUCUUCAGACCAGUCAAGGCCGAAAUUCAACCAAGCCUCUCCUCUCUCUAGCUGUUAUUUGUUUGCAGCACGCGGUCUGGUGGCACCCUGCAGGAUUUACCAGCUUUUUGCCAACAUUCUGGCCUAUGCAAUCAAUACGUCCCUUCAGCGUUGCACUUGGAUGGAUUGGACCUAUAGUUGUUAUAUAUGGAUAUUGUCUAAUUUAUUUAUUACAGUAUUAACUGACUCCUAUGUUCUGGCCUUCAGAAUUUCUCCUUUGGAUCAAUUACUAGCCUGUCUUACAUUUUCUGCUUCAUUCUUUUAAAAUGUUUAGAGAUGAUUUGCUAAGUUUUCUUCAUUGCUGUCAAUGAUGCAAUUUAAACUGUCAAAAAAAUUUUUUCUCAAGCAGGGUAGUAAUGGUGAACCAUUCCCUUGCUAUUCAGACAGCAUGGUUUAGAUGAGGCGCACCUAUCCCCAGCUUUAGGAAUGGAAACAGGACCCAAGUCUGGCUAAUCAGAGACUGGUUUAGGGUCGGCCCCAUGGUCUGAGCCAGACCAAUGAGAAUUGGUAGAGGGACUUCCUUUUGCAACUUCUAUUUUAGAAUCGGGGGUAUAUAUGCAGGCUUGUUACAGAGGUAUAUUGCAUGGUGCUGAGGUUUGGAGUAUGAACGAAUCCGUCCUUCAGGUAAUGAGCAUAGUACCCAAUAGGUAGUUUCAACCCUUGCCCCCUUCCUCCUUCCCCAGUCUUGUAUUCCCCAGUGUCUGUUGUUCCCAGACAUUGAUCUUUUUCCUCUAUGUUGCUAAGCUGGUAGAAAGGCUGGAGUUGCUGGCAACCAUCUUUGCAACCAUGCAGGGAGAACUACUUUGGAAAUGAAGCAAGAUAAAGAAGAAAACAGAUAAAAGGAGACAAAUGUUUGACUUUGUACAGCUGGAAACCAGCAAUGCUGGAAAUGAGCACUGAAGGCAGUUUAAUGGGUUUGUCACUUGUAACCAAGUGACCCAUGGCAAGCUCACAGAUUUGUAUUGGCAGAAUUCCUCCUUUUCUUUAUUUAAAAUGGUACUUUUGGCCAGGCAAGGUGGUUCACACCUGUAAUCCAAAGACUUUGGGAGGCCGAGGCGCACUGAUCACCCAAGGUCAGAAGUUCGAGAACAGCCUGGCCAACAUUGGCGAAACCCCAUCUCUACUAAAAAUACAAACCAUUAGCUGGCUGCGGUGGCCUUUCUACCAGCUUUUUGUCUCAAAAAAAAAAAAAAAAAA